AGUAGCAAGGCCUUUCAGGGCAGAGACCAUGGAGUGUGGCCCUUCUGUGAAAACAGAACAUCUAUGUACAGUAACAUAUGCAUUCGUACACAGGUGCAUACUUAGCCACAUGUAGCCAUCCAUGCAUGCAUGUUCUCAUUGAUUAAGAAUCCAGGUUUAUUGCAAUGCCACAGAUAGAUUUUAGGGAAUAAGAUAAUAGAACAAAACAAAACAUACUAACUCUACCAUGAGGGCAAUUUAACAUUUUGCUGAAGAGACAUUGGUAUCUUAAAAUAGCUUGGGUCAUCUUUUGGCCAUCCUUUCUCAUGGUAUUGUCCAAGGGCAAAAGUACUCCUUAAGGGAAUCCACUUGUCCAGGAUUGGCAGAUCCGUAGACAGAGGUGGAGUAGUGGCUUCCGGGGGCUGGGGGCAGCAGAGAAUGUGGAGGGACUACUUAAUGGGUAUAGGAUUGCUUUUUAGGGUGAUGAAAAUGUUCUGCAAUUAGAUUGUGGUGAUGGUUGCAAAACAUUGUGAAUGUACUAAAAGCCCCUGAAUGGUACGCUUCAAAAUGGUUAAAAUGGCAAGUUUCAUGUUUUGUAACUUUUACCUCAAUCCAAGAAAAAAGAGGUAAGGUGAACUAAGAGCACUGAACCAUGGACAAACGUCAGCUCUCCCAAGUGCUAGGGAAUGGCUAGGGAUGGGGUUGGGGGGAUGCUGCCUGCAUCCUGGAGAUUGCUAAGAGGAGCUCCUGAGGCCUGGGGCAGGGGUAGGGCCAGAGAGGAGUGUGGUUUGAUUCCAGUGUUGGAGAG
rnacentral:lncRNA from 10 species